GUCGUAACAAGGUUUCCGUAGGUGAACCUGCGGAAGGAUCAUUAUCGAAUAUACUUGAUGGGCUGUAGCUGGCUCCCCGGAGCAAUGUGCACGCCUGUCUUGACUUUAUUCAUCCACCUGUGCACCCUUUGUAGUCUCUGGGGGUUGAUAGCGGGGCUGACCGUCGAAGAAGGGGUUCUCUCUGGCCUCUUCACGGAUAUGAGGGGUGCUGCGCGAAAGUGCUGCUCCCUUCAAGUGGCCUUGUGACCUCUCCCCCAGAGGUCUAUGUUGUUUCAUACACCACAGUAGCAUGUUGUAGAAUGUUAUUCGAUGGGCCUCUCGUGCCUAUAGAACUUGUAAUACAACUUUCAGCAACGGAUCUCUUGGCUCUCGCAUCGAUGAAGAACGCAGCGAAAUGCGAUAAGUAAUGUGAAUUGCAGAAUUCAGUGAAUCAUCGAAUCUUUGAACGCAUCUUGCGCUCCUUGGUAUUCCGAGGAGCAUGCCUGUUUGAGUGUCAUUAAAUUCUCAACUCCACUCCAGUUUUUUGAAGCUGGUGUUCGGGGCUUGGACAUUGGGGGUCUAUGCCGGCCUUUGUAAAACGAGGUCGGCUCCUCUGAAAUGCAUUAGCGGAACCGUUUGCGGUCCAUCACAGGUGUGAUAACUAUCUACGCCGUGGGGCUGCUCUCUGUCUGUUCAGCUGCCAAUCGUCCUUCCAGGGGACAAUCUCUGAACAUUUUGACCUCAAAUCAGGUAGGACUACCCGCUGAACUUA
rnacentral:rRNA from 1 species